rnacentral:rRNA from 1 species
GAUGAACGCUGGCGGCGUGCUUAACACAUGCAAGUCGAACGGAGUUAUUUGGAAGCUUGCUUUUGAAUAACUUAGUGGCGGACGGGUGAGUAACGCGUGGGUGACCUGCCUUAUACUGGGGGAUAACACUUAGAAAUAGGUGCUAAUACCGCAUAAGCGCACAGUUCUGCAUGGAACAGUGUGAAAAACUCCGGUGGUAUAAGAUGGACCCGCGUCUGAUUAGCUGGUUGGUGAGGUAACGGCUCACCAAGGCGACGAUCAGUAGCCGGCCUGAGAGGGUGAACGGCCACAUUGGGACUGAGACACGGCCCAAAACUCCUACGGGAGGCAGCAGUGGGGAAUAUUGCACAAUGGGGGGAAAACCCUGAUGCAGCGACGCCGCGUGAGUGAAGAAGUAUUUCGGUAUGUAAAGCUCUAUCAGCAGGGAAGAAAAAUGACGGUACCUGACUAAGAAGCCCCGGGCUAACUAACGUGCCAGCAGCC